rnacentral:rRNA from 1 species
GACGAACGCUGGCGGCGUGCUUAACACAUGCAAGUCGAACGGUGAAGCGCCUUCCUUUUUGGUGGGUGUGGAUGAGUGGCGAACGGGUGAGUAACACGUGAGUAACCUGCCCCCUUCUUCUGGAUAACCGCAUGAAAGUGUGGCUAAUACGGGAUAUUCUGGGUCUGUCGCAUGAUGGGUCUGGGAAAGAUAUUGUUUCGGUGGGGGAUGGGCUCGCGGCCUAUCAGCUUGUUGGUGGGGUGAUGGCCUACCAAGGCGGUGACGGGUAGCCGGCCUGAGAGGGUGGACGGUCCCACUGGGUCUGAGACACGGCCCAGACUCCUACGGGAGGCAGCAGUGGGGAAUAUUGCACAAUGGGCGCAAGCCUGAUGCAGCGACGCCGCGUGAGGGAUGGAGGCCUUCGGGUUGUGAACCUCUUUCGCCAGUGAAGCAGGCCUGCCUCGUUUGUGGGUGGGUUGACGGUAGCUGGAUAAGAAGCGCCGGCUAACUACGUG